rnacentral:rRNA from 1 species
GACGAACGCUGGCGGCGUGCCUAAUACAUGCAAGUAGGACGCAGUUGCGAACGGGUGAGUAACGCGUAGGUAACUACCUAUUAGAGGGGGAUAACUAUUGGAAACGAUAGCUAAUACCGCAUACUAGUAGAUGGACCUGCGUUGUAUUAGCUAGUAGGUAGGGUAAUGGCCUACCUAGGCAACGAUACAUAGCCGAAAUGAGAGGAGGACAGGCCACAAAGGGACUUGGACACGACCAAGACGCCGUGGGGAGGCAGCAGGAGGGAAUCUUCGGCAAUGGGGUGAACCGUGACCGAGCAACGCCGCGUGAGUGAAUAAGGUUUACGGAUCGUAAAGCUCUGUAGUUAAGGAAGCGGUACUUAACCAGAAAGGGACGGCUAACUACGUGCCAGCCGCCGCGGUAAUUC